GGAUUGUGGCUCAGUGGUAGAGCGAUUCCAUAGCACUGGCGGGACCUGGGUUCGAUUCUCAGCACCA
rnacentral:tRNA from 1 species